GAGAGCUUUUUGCGGGGAAACUUGAAAGUACAGUUUGGGGGGAGGCAGAUGUGGACCCUACCUUAU
rnacentral:ncRNA from 1 species